rnacentral:rRNA from 1 species
UAGCAUAUCAAUAAGCGGAGGAAAAGAAACCAACAGGGAUUGCCCCCAGUAACGGCGAGUGAAGCGGCAACAGCUCAAAUUUGAAAUCUGGCCCCCCAGGGUCCGAGUUGUAAUUUGCAGAGGAUGCUUUUGGCAAGGUGCCUUCCGAGUUCCCUGGAACGGGACGCCAUAGAGGGUGAGAGCCCCGUCUGGUUGGAUACCGAGCCUCUGUAAAGCUCCUUCGACGAGUCGAGUAGUUUGGGAAUGCUGCUCUAAAUGGGAGGUAUAUGUCUUCUAAAGCUAAAUAUUGGCCAGAGACCGAUAGCGCACAAGUAGAGUGAUCGAAAGAUGAAAAGCACUUUGAAAAGAGGGUUAAAUAGUACGUGAAAUUGUUGAAAGGGAAGCGCUCAUGACCAGACUUGGGCCCGGUGAAUCAUCCAGCGCUCGUCGCUGGUGCACUUUGCCGGGCUCAGGCCAGCAUCAGUUCGCUCCGGGGGACAAAGGCUCUGGGAAUGUGGCUCCUCCGGGAGUGUUAUAGCCCACUGCGCAAUACCCUGGGGCGGACUGAGGUUCGCGCAUUCGUGCAAGGAUGCUGGCGUAAUGGUCAUCAGUGACCCGUCUUGAAACACGGACCAAGGAGUCGUCUUCGUAUGCAAGUGUUCGGGUGUAAAACCCCUACGCGUAAUGAAAGUGAACGCAGGUGAGAGCUUCGGCGCAUCAUCGACCGAUCCUGAUGUUCUCGGAUGGAUUUGAGUAAGAGCAUACGGGGCCGGACCCGAAAGAAGGUGAACUAUGCCUGUAUAGGGUGAAGCCAGAGGAAACUCUGGUGGAGGCUCGCAGCGGUUCUGACGUGCAAAUCGAUCGUCAAAUAUGGGCAUGGGGGCGAAAGACUAAUCGAACCUUCUAGUAGCUGGUUUCCGC